ensembl:lncRNA
CUAAAGUCACCUGACACUAUAGUCCAUACUCCCCCUUUCUCUUUUGCUGCAACUGAUUAAAAUAUUUCAACAAACACAACAAAAAUCACAUCGAAAACGGAUCAAUUUACGUCGCACUUAACGUUAGACGAACAACUAGCAUGGCAAAAAAGAACUGAUAGCCAGCAAAACCUGGUUGGGCUAACGUCUUUGUUUCUCAAUAUAACUGGAGAUACAAUUAUGGCAGCAAUAUUGAACGCUACAUCUAAACCAGACACACCCGGAGAACGAGUUAUUUCGCGCACGGUUCUCACAGGGAAAACCAAUUUCUUUCAAACGCGUGCAAAUGAAAGUGACAACAGGGACACUGGAGAGGCCAUAGCAAGACAUCCCCCAAAAAGGGAAUGGAUUUCGAGGCAUGCCAGUCGAUCUGUACGGUGCUAGGCUUUGAGUCUGUCGUUGGUGGCUGGCUUUCAGUAAAUAGUUCAAACAGAGUAUACAAUGUGGGGAAAAUGUAUUUGAUUCCCUGUUGAUUUUGUAAGUUUUCCCAAUGACAAAGAAAUUAUCAGUCUAUCAUUUUUAUGGUAGGUUUAUUUUAACAGUGAGAGACAGAAUAACAACAUAAAAUAUGAAAUCAGUAUUUGGUCCCCUCUCAAUCAGAUUUCUGUCUCCCAGGUUUCUUUUGUACAGGUAAUGAGCUGAGAUUGGAGCACACUCUUAAAGGGAGUGCUCCUAAUCUCAGCUUGUUACCUGUAUAAAAGACACCUGUCCAUAGAAGCAAUCAAUCAGAUUCCAAACUCUCCCCCAUGGCCAAGACCAAAGGGCUGUCCAAGGAUGUCAGGGACAAGAUUGUACACCUACAUUAGGCUGAAAUGGGCUACAAGACCAUCGCCAAGCAGCUUGGUGAGAAGGUGACAACAGUUUUUUCGAUUAUGCAAUUAUUCACAAAUGAAAGAAACACAAAAGAACUGUCAAUCUCCCUCAGUCUGGG